AUCCAACUGACGAGUUUCGAAUAGGACGAAAUGCGCGUUCUGGAU
rfam:Schistosoma margrebowiei strain Zambia genome assembly, scaffold: SMRZ_scaffold0000857